rnacentral:misc_RNA from 1 species
UCUCCGUAGGUGAACCUGCGGAGGGAUCAUUACUGAGUGAGGUCUCACGCCCGACCUCCAACCCUUUGUGAACAUAUCUUGUUGCUUCGGUGGCGACCCUGCCGGCGCUCUGUCGCCGGGCGCCCCCGAAGGUCUCCAAACACUGCAUCUUUGCGUCGGAGUUUAAAACAAAUUAAACAAAACUUUCAACAACGGAUCUCUUGGUUCUGGCAUCGAUGAAGAACGCAGC